UUCACAUCCCCAAAUAAGGCAGAAAAGCUCCUUCAUGGAAAGGGGAAAAGCAAAAGAAAAAAGACUUUUAAAAAUCCUUCAUCAAAAUAAGUCAUCAUAGUCUAUUUAAUGGCAUAAUCUCCUUUCCAUCGCAAUAUAAAGCAGAACAUGAACCUCACUUUAUGGACUGAAAAGCACCACAGGAAUAAUUGAAAAAUAAACAUGUUCCUGAAAUAUAAUGAGGUCACCUAGAAUGUUGAAAAAUUGAAGCCAUCUACAGAAAUUGAAGCCCUGGCUGUUCCCAGUGAUAGAAGGCUGGGCCAUUUAGACCCAUCUAGUCAGUUCCCAGUUUGCCUGUCAUGGAUCCUGCCUCCCCAUUAGGGAUAAGACCUUUGGAUUUCAUCCAUUAGGAAGUUAACCUAUGGUGCUGGGCUGCCUGUAGAGAGAUAAAUAUGUACAUAACCUCUGAACUGAAAAAGUUGAUCUUAAUUUAUAUACUGUAGUUCGUUGAUUUGUUUAACUCAU